rnacentral:rRNA from 1 species
GAUCCUAGACCACAUGUGCGUUCUCUUUUCUUUCACAUCAUACUAGAACAAAGUUCCCUCCUAGCUAGUCUCUCAUGCGCAUGCUUGACCCUUCCGCUGUUCACCGGCGACUGAACACCCGGGGCGUAAGAUAGAGUCCGAGGAACCGGUAAAGAGACCUGAGACCGCUGCCGUCAGGGCUUCAAACUAUAUUUUCCGUCUUUCAGCGUGGGAACGUGCGGAGAAGCUUGUCUUUGACCGUACCGAAGGAGACGGAGGCAGAGGCAGAGGCCCUCUCCUCCUCCGAAGGAGAAUGGCCGGCGCCACGACGAUCGCCACCGCCACUAUGUGCGCGCCCCCCGAGGGCGCCGCGGCACGCAAGGCGCCCACAAGUCGAAGCCCCUGAGCGACCGCCUGUGCCCGUUGAAGGGGAAGGAGAUGCCGUUGCUGAGGGCGCUCGGGCGCGAGUCCUGCGGGAUGCCCCUCUGUAAGAAGGCGGCGCGGUGGCCGGCGAAGAGGCUGCCGGCGGAGUAGCAGCUGAAGUAGCGCCUGUGCUACCCCGACGGCAAGCACGCCGGCAUGGACUCGCCCGCUUGGCGCCUCCUGAAGCGCAGGCCCCGGUUGAAGCGCCAGCCGCCGCGGUACCGCGACCCGGGCCUGAAGAAAGCCCCCUCUCCCCACGGGUACCCGCUGGCGUACGUGGAACCGCAGCUCUACUUUACCAAGGUGCUGGACGAGCUAGACGAGACGGGGCGGCUGGCCCGACUAACGUACCCGUACUACUUAGUUAGAGAGAAGAACCAACCUCUUUAACCCCCGUUACUAAUGUUGUAUGGAGAAGAGAGAUCCCAAGGGAAACUCUUCUAAGCGUGCAAGUGAGGCUCACAACAACGGUUUUAAAGAAGAUGUCAGUGACUCAACUAACCAGACCCUCGGUUUUGUAACCAUCAAGGACCAUUGGAGGGGUAGCCCACGCAAGGCUUGAUGGACUACUAUAAGUUCUCACUGUUCUUCCUUCUAAUACUCGGUCUCUGACCAACGGAUGCCACCUACUUGCUUAAGAGCUUCAUGGUGUUGUCUGAAGAGUAACUACUCAACCUUUUCAACGCGUUCGAAGUAGGACCGCACAGUUAUUAGAUACGGCUAAUGAUACCUCGACGAUACCUCUAGAUGGCAAGGGGCCUUGUUAAACCCUAGCUAGUGGGAAAUCGUCGUACGACGCCACCUCCUCCUGGGAUACCACACAGGUACUGACGUUCUACACCUAUACCUCUUAUGUUCCACACACUACUAGGUGUUUUCAUACCUAGUACCCUACCAAAGGUAGGGAGUCUUCGACGUAUAUUCCCGUAGCGUUAACCGGAAGAUUCUCCUUGUAUGUGUGUCGGAAGUUAAAGAUGGUGGUAGUCAAGUACGGGUGUUGAAUGACUUGAGCCGAGGAGGCAACUUAUGUUCUUGACGCCAUGACAAGAUGUGGAGUGCCAACAACGAGUUCACUAACCGACCGAAAAUAAAAAGCAAGUGAAAAAUAUCGUGUCCCAGGAAAAAAGGGGGACAACAAAUUCUCCUUCAUUUGUGUGGCCAACGAGUAGAACCGACGAACCGAUCGCGCCGACUUUACAACCAAGAAGAUAACGACGAAACCAUUGAGUAUAAUAAUGAAACAGU